AGGUCGCCCCCCAGAGGCCGAAGGAGAGAGUGCAUCGCUCUGAACUUCAUUUGGCCAUUACUGCCUCACGAUGUUUGAACUAUUAAUGGUGCGCGUACCUAUCGGAGUGCAGCUGUUCUGAUGGCUUCCUUCUCAGAAAUGUAUUUUGCGGGCCCGGCAGGAUCGACCUGGAGCGAGUUAAAAUAGCCCUUCUGCGGUAGGCGAUGCAGUGUAACCAGGCCGUAAGGGUAUGAUGAUGAUGAUGAUGAUGAUGAAGAUGAUCGGAGACAAUAAGCUGCUUUUGACACGGACUUUCAGAAAACCUCAGCGAGUCAUUCUGUGCAGAAAGCGAGCUCCGCGGCAACAGAACUUGGCACAUGUUUCUUCAAAAUAUACAAACCCAGUAUUACAGGAGAAACAAAAUACGGACAAAUCCGCCACACAGUUAUCAAAUUAAGCUAAAUUAAGUAGACAAACAAUAGCCUGUGGCAGACCAGUGUCUUUGUCAUUUCCAGUAAUAAAACCCAGUCCAAAUAAACUACACACAGGGAAAAACAAUCAACCUUUCAACAAAACCAAACUACAGUCAUGUCAUAAUAUAUGUAUGUGUAUAACUGGUAUUGAAAAAACUAUUCCUCAUAUAUAUAUAUGUUUUUCCAUGUACAAGGACCCCCCUGUUUUUUGAGCAAUACUUAAUGGCUGAACUACGUUAAUCAGUCGACAAAACACGGGUGUAACUUUACUUUUGGACCAGAAACCAAAGCAUAGAAACGUACAGCUGUUAAAGGAAUCUUCCGUCAUAAGGUAAACUAAAAAUGUGCCGUGAUGACUCCCGGACAGACUGGAAACCCCCAGCCCAGCUAUAACUCCUCCGAGAGAAAGGGAGAGAAGGCUGCUAUGGCUGUAGACUCCGAAAGUGCCUGGGCUUCGAGGGGCCCAGUGCUGCGUGGAGUCUAAACGGAAGAGCGCCGAAGCGAAUGACCCCCGUGGGAACCUGGAUAAUAAUGUAACUGUCAACCAUCACGCUCCCAACAAUGCCUGUGCUGACUGAUCGGUAACUGAGGUGAUAAGACCAGAAUAUCUGAUCAUCUGACGGUUCCAGGUCACAAAUGUCUGGAAGUCAAAAUCCCGCCUGUUUUUCAGCCUCGCAUCCAUUUUGGCAGAAAGAGCCUCUCCUGAGUCCGAGGACUGCAGAAUCGCUGGCGCUCUGCAAGAGACGACUAAAAAAACCCACUGCUUCAGGCUGCAUUUGCCUGACCUGCUGACCACAUCCAGAUGAUGUCAUUCUCAAACCUAAGGAAACCAGACUGGGACAGUUUAAUAUCUGCUACCACAAACGUCUAAAAUAACAAAAAUAUCAUGAUCCCGAAUGGAGACCUGGUCAUCGUCACUUCAGAAACAUUUCUGCUGCUGGACUCCUGAUGUGUAACACUGGUAUUUCAUAUUUAUAAACUCUUCCCCCACCUCAUGUUAUACGUUAUGAUCAAGUCAUAUUCCAGGGCGUUGAUUCCUGAAAUAAUCCCCAGGUUCUCUGCGCUGCUGCAGCGGGUAAGUGGCUGGAAGCUGGUUUGAUGAACAUCCAGGGUGUCCCCUGCCUGGUCACUGCUGGGGGCUCAUCACAAUCCGACAUGAGCAGGGAUAGAAAUGAAUGACACGAAUGUGUUAUCAUAAUCUGCAGCCAGCCAUGACUCUGUUACUCUAGUUAUAUAAAAAGGCAAUUUUGCACAAUACCUAUUGUUUAUAGAAUCACAUUUUGCGUGCUUCCAUCCGUAAAACCGCUAAAUGAUCCCAAUAAGGGUUUAUUUUAAUAAAGCAGAACAGGGAUAUGCCUUGGUGUGACUUUUGCAGCCCCGCUGUUAGUCUGCUGGGCUGCUGUGUUUUUGUUGAUAUAAAGUCAAACAAAGACUCAUAGUUUCCUAUAUUUGUCA